CCGGCAAGAAGCUGAACAGUUAAACAUUUUAGGUGAUAAACAAUGGCCAGGGCUGCCUACAGGAUCAACACACCUGCAUCCCAACACUAGGAAGGCCGAGGCUGAGGAGUCCUCUAAGUUUGAGGCCAACCUGGACCCUGUCUCCAAAAAGUAACAGGAGAGACACUUCUGAGAACAAGGGA